CAAAAAAUAGUUUAAUAAGAACAUUAAUUUUGGAGAUUAGUGGUAUAAUUUUGAUUAUUUUUUUGA
rnacentral:tRNA from 1 species